CCUACGGGUGGCAGCAGUGGGGAAUAUUGGACAAUGGGCGAAAGCCUGAUCCAGCCAUGCCGCGUGUGUGAAGAAGGCCUUCGGGUUGUAAAGCACUUUCAGUGGGGAAGAAAGCCUUGGGGCUAAUACCCUCGAGGAAGGACAUCACCCACAGAAGAAGCACCGGCUAACUCCGUGCCAGCAGCCGCGGUAAUACGGAGGGUGCGAGCGUUAAUCGGAAUUACUGGGCGUAAAGCGCGCGUAGGCGGUCUGUAAGCCGGUUGUGAAAGCCCCGGGCUCAACCUGGGAACGGCAUCCGGAACUGUCAGGCUAGAGUGCAGGAGAGGAAGGUAGAAUUCCCGGUGUAGCGGUGAAAUGCGUAGAGAUCGGGAGGAAUACCAGUGGCGAAGGCGGCCUUCUGGACUGACACUGACGCUGAGGUGCGAAAGCGUGGGUAGCAAACAGGAUUAGAUACCCUUGCAGUC
rnacentral:rRNA from 1 species